GUUCUCAAUGAUGUUCUUUCUUUACCAUGCUAAUGCUGAUAACAGAUGAUUAAUACUUUUAGUUUAUUAUACUGAGGGAACU